CCUACGGGAGGCAGCAGUGGGGAAUUUUGGACAAUGGGCGCAAGCCUGAUCCAGCAAUGCCGCGUGAGUGAAGAAGGCCUUCGGGUUGUAAAGCUCUUUUGUCAGGGAAGAAACGGUGGUUCCUAAUACGGACUACUAAUGACGGUACCUGAAGAAUAAGCACCGGCUAACUACGUGCCAGCAGCCGCGGUAAUACGUAGGGUGCAAGCGUUAAUCGGAAUUACUGGGCGUAAAGCGUGCGCAGGCGGUUAUAUAAGUCAGAUGUGAAAUCCCCGGGCUCAACCUGGGAACUGCAUUUGAGACUGUAUGGCUAGAGUGUGUCAGAGGGGGGUAGAAUUCCACGUGUAGCAGUGAAAUGCGUAGAUAUGUGGAGGAAUACCGAUGGCGAAGGCAGCCCCCUGGGAUAACACUGACGCUCAUGCACGAAAGCGUGGGGAGCAAACAGGAUUAGAUACCCUGGUAGUCCACGCCCUAAACGAUGUCUACUAGUUGUCGGGACUUAAUUGUCUUGGUAACGCAGCUACGCGUGAGUAGACCGCCGUGGGAGGUACGGUCGCGAGAGUUAAACUAACAAGUAGAAGUUAGUACGGCGUGAGACGUAGCCGACGGACGACCGACGAGGGGAGGAGGG
rnacentral:rRNA from 1 species